rnacentral:rRNA from 1 species
CACUCCUACGGGAGGCAGCAGUGGGGAAUUUUGGACAAUGGGCGAAAGCCUGAUCCAGCCAUGCCGCGUGCAGGAUGAAGGCCUUCGGGUUGUAAACUGCUUUUGUACGGAACGAAACGGCCUUUUCUAAUAAAGAGGGCUAAUGACGGUACCGUAAGAAUAAGCACCGGCUAACUACGUGCCAGCAGCCGCGGUAAUACGUAGGGUGCAAGCGUUAAUCGGAAUUACUGGGCGUAAAGCGUGCGCAGGCGGUUAUGUAAGACAGUUGUGAAAUCCCCGGGCUCAACCUGGGAACUGCAUCUGUGACUGCAUAGCUAGAGUACGGUAGAGGGGGAUGGAAUUCCGCGUGUAGCAGUGAAAUGCGUAGAUAUGCGGAGGAACACCGAUGGCGAAGGCAAUCCCCUGGACCUGUACUGACGCUCAUGCACGAAAGCGUGGGGAGCAAACAGGAUUAGAUACCCGAGUAGUCCCAU